UCUUAAGGAUGAGCAAAGAAAGUGGUUCCUUGUGAUGGAAUCCACUCCUGGUGAAGAUGCUGUGAU
rnacentral:pre_miRNA from 1 species